rnacentral:rRNA from 1 species
CCAGACUCCUACGGGAGGCAGCAGUGGGGAAUAUUGCACAAUGGGGGAAACCCUGAUGCAGCAACGCCGCGUGAGUGAGGAAGUAUUUCGGUAUGUAAAGCUCUAUCAGCAGGGAAUAGAAAAGAAGGUACCUGAAAAAGAAGCCCCGGCUAACUACGUGCCAGCAGCCGCGGUAAUACGUAGGGGGCAAGCGUUAUCCGGAUUUAUUGGGUUUAAAGGGUGCGCAGGCGGAGGCACAAGUCAGCGGUAAAAUCGCGGGGCUCACCCCCGCUCCGCCGUUGAAACUGUGUCCCUUGAGUGCGCGAAGGGUAGGCGGAAUGCGUGGUGUAGCGGUGAAAUGCAUAGAUAUCACGCAGAACUCCGAUCGCGAAGGCAGCCUACCGGCGCGCAACUGACGCUCAUGCACGAAAGCGUGGGUAUCGAACAGGAUUAGAUACCCUCGUA